AAAAUCCGUCGACUUUAGAAAUCGUGAGGGUUCAAGUCCCUCUAUCCCCCCAAAAAGACCGAUUUGACUAUUUCUCCUACCCUCUCUUUUUUUUAUUUUUUAGUGGUUCAAAAUUCGUUCUCUUUCUCAUGCAUUCUACCUUUUUACAAACGUAUCAGAGCAGAAUUUUUUUUUUAUCACAAUCACAAGUGGUGUGGUAUAUAUGAUAUACGUACAAAUGAACAUCUUUGAACAAAGAAUCCCGAUUCACAAUUCAUAUCAUUGCUCAUACUGAAACUUAUAAAUUAUUCUAUUCAAGAAAUCGAAUUCCACGCUCAAGACUUUUAAUACUUUUUUAAUUGACAUAGACCCCAGUCAUCUAGUAAAAUGAGGAUGAUGCGCCGGUAAUGGUCGGGAUAGCUCAGCUGGUAGAGCAGAGGACUGAAAAUCCUCGUGUCAC
rnacentral:tRNA from 1 species